GCUGAGAUGGUCGAGUGGUCUAAGACGGAGGACUUAAGACCCUCUCCGGAAACGGGCAAGGGUUCGAACCCCUUUCUCAGCA
rnacentral:tRNA from 1 species